rnacentral:lncRNA from 1 species
AUGCCAUUUCCCUUUUCUCCCAACCCUAGCACCUCACGAGAUUUCGCCGUCGCCGUCGUCGAUAUUCGAUUCUCCCCUUUCACCCAUCGCUGAUUGAAAUUCAUUGUGUCUCCAUUAUUAUCUAUUUGUGCUCUCUCUUGUCGGCGGUUUUCUUUUAACUGUAGCACCCUCGCCGACGCUCUCUCUGUGCUCUCUCUCGUCGGCGUUUUUCAACUCAGGUAUAUUCAUUCAUCUCCCUUUUGUUUGAUUUGGUUGUUCAAACUGGUAAUUUAUAUCUGUGUAUAUUCACUAUUCUUGCGGUAUCUGGUAAUUUAUCUCGUCGACUUUCCUCAUUUUUGCGGUGAUUCACUAUUGUUGUUAUUCGUACCAGUUUAAUUUGAAUUAGACUUAAACAUUUAUGGGUAUAUUGAAAAUCUUUUUUUUUUUUUUUUAAUUUAUAUCUAAGUUUUUGGCAGUACUGAAGUUAAGAAUGGGUUGAAUUUGAUAUUAUGUGUGUUUAUUGAUGGAUAAAGUUUUGUUUAAUAGAGGCUAUGGACAUUCAUUGGGUUAGUCUAUAGCCAGUUUUGUGGGUCACGACAAAAUAGGAAUGCAUUAGCGAGAAAGUUUAAGGUUCAAUGGUUUAUUAUUAUACAUGAGGUUUCAUGAAAAAGCAUUCUUUGAUCCAUCUAAUUAGUCUCACCGAGUGGGAAACAACUUUGAUGGUUAUUGUUGUAUGCUGGGUUUUUUACUCUGUGCCCUUAUCUUUGAGAUCUGUUUGUUAUACACUUUUUAUGCUAAUAUAUUAUAUUAAUUAGUAUCAUUCUUUGUAGAGGCGGAACUCGUAACUUAUUAUGUAUGUUUUCAGGUGGCACCUGGUCUUAGCUUGAAAACUCCUUUGGCAGCAUUGGCAUCACAGUCAGCAUCAUCACAAACAUCUGUAUGUAUUUCUUAUUUUUAUGAUCUGAAAAUAUUUCUUAGAAUUCUAUUAUGGAAGAUAGUAAUUGAGGACCUUUCAUAUUUUUUCUUUGGGAUUCCUUUAUUGUUGUCGAAUGCUCUUGUCAGAUAUUUCCUUGCAUAACGUUUAGUUUACCCCAUUCACUUAUACUAUGAGGGUUAUGGUUAUUGCUAUUAGUAAAUUCACAAUUUUCAUAAUUAGUUGGUCAUUGUUUUAACAAAGAGAUGUUUUGAUUUGUUCAUUUGUGUUUCUCUGCCAGCCUAAGGAUUAAUGAAAUUGUUUGGGAGAGAUUGUUGAAACAACCUAUAUCAUGGGUAUUUUACUUGAAUUCUUUUCUGUGUGAAACAAAGAGAUUGUUGUCAGAGCUACUUAAGGUUUCAUUUUCUUUGUUUAUGUGUAAAUAAGCCAAACACUCUUCAUGUACAUAAACCAAACCUUUAGCUGUUGCAACAACUACAUUAAAUCUCUUAUUCCAAUCAAGUGAAUUAGAACAUAGAUUCUCAACUAAUGAACCAUGUUCCAUAUACUCAUAAACCAGAAGCCUAUGUUUCCCCUCAACACAAUAUCCCCACAUAUGGUUUAACAUACCAAUUUUGCUUAUUUAAGCUAGAAA